rnacentral:tRNA from 1 species
GUUUUAAUAGUUUAAAAAAAACAUUGGUCUUGUAAACCACAGUUAAAGUUUACUUUUUAAAACU